rnacentral:tRNA from 1 species
GGGAAUAUAGUUUAAUGGUAAAAUCUUAUUUUUGCAUAAUAAAAAUAGUAGUUCAAUUCUACUUAUUUCCAU